AUUGAACGCUGGCGGCAGGCUUAACACAUGCAAGUCGAGCGGGGUGAUGGUGCUUGCACUAUCACUUAGCGGCGGACGGGUGAGUAAUGCUUAGGAAUCUGCCUAUUAGUGGGGGACAACAUCUCGAAAGGGAUGCUAAUACCGCAUACGUCCUACGGGAGAAAGCAGGGGAUCACUUGUGACCUUGCGCUAAUAGAUGAGCCUAAGUCGGAUUAGCUAGCUGGUGGGGUAAAGGCCUACCAAGGCGACGAUCUGUAGCGGGUCUGAGAGUAUGAUCCGCCACACUGGGACUGAGGCACGGCCCAGACUCCGACGGGAGGAAGCAGUGGGGAAUAUUGGACAAUUGGGGGAACCCUUAUCCAGCCAUGCCGCGUGUGUGAAGAAGGCCUUAUGGUUGUAAAGCACUUUAAGCGAGGAGGAGGCUCUUUUGGUUAAUACCCAAGAUGAGUGGACGUUACUCGCAGAAUAAGCACCGGCUAACUCUGUGCCAGCCGCCGCAGUAAAAC
rnacentral:rRNA from 1 species